AUGCAAGUCGAGCGGAACGAUCCUAGCUUGCUAGGAGGCGUCGAGCGGCGGACGGGUGAGUAACGCAUAGGAAUCUGCCCGGUAGUGGGGGAUAACCUGGGGAAACCCAGGCUAAUACCGCAUACGUCCUACGGGAGAAAGCAGGGGAUCUUCGGACCUUGCGCUAUCGGAUGAGCCUAUGUCGGAUUAGCUAGUUGGUGAGGUAAUGGCUCACCAAGGCUGCGAUCCGUAGCUGGUCUGAGAGGAUGAUCAGCCACAUCGGGACUGAGACACGGCCCGAACUCCUACGGGAGGCAGCAGUGGGGAAUAUUGGACAAUGGGCGAAAGCCUGAUCCAGCCAUGCCGCGUGUGUGAAGAAGGCCUUCGGGUUGUAAAGCACUUUCAGUGAGGAAGAAGGCCUUGAGGUUAAUACCCUCGAGGAAGGACAUCACUCACAGAAGAAGCACCGGCUAACUCCGUGCCAGCAGCCGCGGUAAUACGGAGGGUGCGAGCGUUAAUCGGAAUUACUGGGCGUAAAGCGCGCGUAGGCGGCUUGAUAAGCCGGUUGUGAAAGCCCCGGGCUCAACCUGGGAACGGCAUCCGGAACUGUCAGGCUAGAGUGCAGGAGAGGAAGGUAGAAUUCCCGGUGUAGCGGUGAAAUGCGUAGAGAUCGGGAGGAAUACCAGUGGCGAAGGCGGCCUUCUGGACUGACACUGACGCUGAGGUGCGAAAGCGUGGGUAGCAAACAGGAUUAGAUACCCUGGUAGUCCACGCCGUAAACGAUGUCGACUAGCCGUUGGGCUCCUUGAGAGCUUUGUGGC
rnacentral:rRNA from 1 species